rnacentral:rRNA from 1 species
UACGAAGGGGGCUAGCGUUACUCGGAAUUAUUGGGCGUAAAGCGUGCGUAGGCGGUUUAAUAAGUUGGGAGUGAAAGCCUUGAGCUUAACUCAAGAAUUGCUCUCAAAACUGUUAGGCUAGAGUACUAAAGAGGAUAGCGGAAUUCCUAGUGUAGAGGUGAAAUUCGUAGAUAUUAGGAGGAACACCGGUGGCGAAAGCGGCUAUCUGGUUAGUAACUGACGCUGUUGCACGAAAGCGUGGGGAGCAAACAGG